ensembl:lncRNA
GGUUAGGGUUCUUUGUUCUACAAUGAAGGCUAGGGUUAAGGUUAGAGUUCUUUGUUCUACAAUGAAGGCUAGGGUUAGGGUUAGAGUUCUUUGUUCUACAAUGAAGGCUAGGGUUAAGGUUAGAGUUCUUUGUUCUACAAUGAAGGCUAGGGUUAGGAUUAGGGUUCUUUAUUUUACAAUGAAGGACAACUGUGGAUGGAAAGUACUGUACACCUAUCAGUGCAUUUUAUAGAAAAUAAGCGUACCUUUUUUAAUAAAGACUGUCAUGAUUUUUAGUUUUUUGAUAAAUACCAUGUCUUGAAUGUUUCUUAUUGUUGAUUAUACAUGUACACAAUCAGCACUUCUUGUCUCACAAAUACAUCGCUACAGUUGUUGGUUAGCUAGUUAGCGAAUCUUAGCCAUCUUAGCAUAGAUGUGACAGCCAAAACACCUCAAAACAAGACAUGGUAUCAAGAACAAGAUGAAACGAGCUACUUACAAUUUCUUACAUGGCAGUUUCUUGUCAUUCUUGCUAGCAAUUUGUCCAUCCAGAAUCAUAACAACACACUGACUUCUGCCCCAUGGAAGCGCGCACAUCGUUUUUUUGUGACGUUGUCAGCUAACCCAUUUAUACUGUAUGCAGUGUGGACUGUGAAUGCAGUCUCCGCUAACGCGCGAGCAUUGCCUUGAAAUUGCUAACGCGCUAUAGCGUAGAUCUUUAGCACUACGGAUUGAAUCGAGCCCCUAGAGGGCUUGAGUGGCAGUAAUGAAUAAAUUGUGUUUUGACAAAGACAAUUAAAAUGAAGAUGAAGAGAUUAAGAUUAAGAUAACGUGAUUCAUUUCCUGUUUGAUCCACAUCUGUAGCAGAGGAUGUGUACUGUUUCUAUGUCUCCAGGUUUCAUAUCUCUGGCAACAUGGUCCCUCCCUUUUUCACGUCUAGACCUCUGCAUCUCUAAUGACACCCUACCCUACAUAGUGCACUACAAAGGACAGAUGGGGACAAACACUACAUAGUAUGUGUCUCUGGCCAGUAGUGACGCAGGGGUGUCAUUUCAGUUGUUUGUUCAUAUGCAUUCUAUACACCAGAGUAACACUCCCUCUCUGUUGUUCUAGCAAUAACUCUUUGUUAAAACACAGAAACGUUUCUGGGUCGUGUUUAUCUUGGUUUAUUUAUUGUGCUAUGUUGUGCUAUCCCAGUGUUUUUGUUCGAUUUUCUGUAAUAGAUAAAAAUGUGAUUUGGUUAAUAUUAAAAAUAAUAAUUAAAAAGUCCCAAUGUUUUUCAAGUCAAGUAAAAUGACUAGCUAACUGCCCCAACAUUUCUGUCAAAUGUUCAAACACCACCAAACACACACAAGCACACACUCACACACACGCACGCACACAAGCACACACACACACAGGAAUCACCUACUCUCUCCCCGUCUCCAGCCGUGUUUCCCUAACUGUAGCAAAAUAAACACUGACAUCAGAGGUAUUAUCACUGGUGCUCUGGUUCAAUCUGACACAAAAACACAGGAAGUGUAGCAUGUGUGUGUGUGAUGUAAUCAGUAAUCCUAGUCUGUGUUCCCG